GAAGGUGGCGAGCGUUGUUCGGUGUUACUGGGCUUAAAGCGUAUGUAGGCGGAAAGGCAAGCGUCUUGUGAAAUCCCUCGGCUUAACCGAGGAAUUGCUCGGCGAACUUCCUUUCUUGAGGCAAGUAGGGGUGCAUGGAACUCUUGGUGGAGCGGUGGAAUGCGUAGAUAUCAAGAGGAACGCCAAUGGAGAAAUCAGUGCACUGGGCUUGUCCUGACGCUGAGAUACGAAAGCGUGGGGGAGCGAACGGGAUUAGAUACCCCGGUAGUCCACGCUGUAAACGAUGUCUACUAGAUUGCGGGAGUUCUGACACUGUCGCAAUCGAAGCAAAAGUGUUAAGUAGACCGCCUGGGAGUACGGUCGCAAGGCUA
rnacentral:rRNA from 1 species